AGGCCGGCGGCCAGAGCCGAGCGGCCGGCAGGGUCCACUCCACCGCUGCCGGACAAACACACAGCAGGGACUCAGCAACGUGUGGACCCCGAGGAGUCGGCCUGGUCAGCAGGGCUCAGUCAGCCAUUAAGCUUCAACACCUGAAGACAGCAACUGUUAGUCACAUCCAAAAAGAACGCAUGAGGAGUUUCUGUCCUGCAUGGUGUGGAAGGGCCUUGGUUGCAUAACCUGAGAACUUCUUCACUGAAUAACCACUGAACCGUCUGAGCGGAGGAUGCUGCACAGUGAUGGUCGUUACCGAGGCUGAAGGCGCAGAUGUUGAUGCAGCAGCAGCAAACGGCCGUCAGGCAGCGAAUGGCGAGGAAGAGGAGCGGCUGAGGAAACACGGCGGGCACCAGGCCGCAGAAGGCCUGGACGCAGGCGCAAGCUAGCAGCACCGGCCGCUUCCCGUACCU